GUCGAGCGAGAAGACGUAGCAAUACGUUUGUAAAGCGGCGAACGGGUGAGGAAUACAUGGGUAACCUACCCUCGAGUGGGGAAUAACUAGCCGAAAGGUUAGCUAAUACCGCAUACGACUCUCGGUCUGCGGAUCGAGAGGGAAAGCGAUACCGUGGGUAUCGCGCUCAUGGAUGGGCUCAUGUCCUAUCAGCUUGUUGGUGAGGUAACGGCUCACCAAGGCUUCGACGGGUAGCUGGUCUGAGAGGACGAUCAGCCACACUGGCACUGCGACACGGGCCAGACUCCUACGGGAGGCAGCAGUAAGGAAUAUUGCGCAAUGGGCGACAGCCUGACGCAGCGACGCCGCGUGGGGGAUGAAGGUCUUCGGAUUGUAAACCCCUUUCGGCAGGGAAGAUGGAACGGGUAACCGUUCGGACGGUACCUGCAGAAGCAGCCACGGCUAACUUCGUGCCAGCAGCCGCGGUAAUACGAAGGUGGCAAGCGUUGUUCGGAUUUACUGGGCGUACAGGGAGCGUAGGCGGUUGGGUAAGCCUUUCGUGAAAUCUCCGGGCCUAACCCGGAAAGUGCGGAGGGGACUGCUCGGCUAGAGGAUGGGAGAGGAGCGCGGAAUUCCCGGUGUAGCGGUGAAAUGCGUAGAGAUCGGGAGGAAGGCCGGUGGCGAAGGCGGCGCUCUGGAACAUAUCUGACGCUGAGGCUCG
rnacentral:rRNA from 1 species